GAACUGGACAAAGCAUUCUGGAUAAGCCAAGUGGAAAGGUCUCAGAGGGAAUGCCAAUGUAGGACCUUGAGCAGUAAAGAUGUUGGAAGAUAAGUGUAUAAUAAAAUGCAAGGUCAAGGAAUGACUAGGGCAUCUCCCAUAGAGUUGCAGCUGUGCCCUCUCCUCGAGCAGAAUGUACUGCAUUUGGCAUUGGAUGGUGUUGCAAAGAGAUCUAUCUUUGGAUGACACCAGCUUCUUCUUACUGGAAAUUGUUUCAUACAGCUCUCCUGCUUGCAGCAUCCAGUGGCUACAGAUCUAGGAGCUCUCUCAUUCCCACUCCACCAUGCAUUUUUCUUCUGUGAGCCUCAAAGAACCUUGUUUCCAACAGAGUUUUCCCCACCCCCACCACUUCAGGAACACUAUCAGCCAGAGUAGCCUGGCCUAAGCAGUCAUUAGCCAGGGUCCAUAUGUGAGCCUAUCCCAUUAGUAAGCAGAAGCUGGUCUAAGCCACAAUUCAGGAUGUGUACCAACCAUGCCUUCCGGCCUUUAUUG